rnacentral:rRNA from 1 species
UCCCCACGACUGCACAACGCGAAGAACCUUACCUAGGCUUGACAUGCAUCUCUAAGCGCGUGAAAGCGCGUGACCCUUCGGGGGGAUUUUGCACAGGUGCUGCAUGGUCGUCGUCAGCUCGUGUCGUGAGAUGUUGGGUUUAAGUCCCGCAACGAGCGCAACCCUUGUGAACAGUUGCCAGCACGUUAAGGUGGGAACUCUGUUCAGACUGCCCAGAUCAACUGGGAGGAAGGUGGGGACGACGUCAGGUCAGUAUGGCCCUUACGCCUAGGGCUGCACACGUACUACAAUGCCCAGCACAAUGAGAACCGAGACCGCGAGGUGGAGGAAUACUAAAAAACUGGGCCCAGUUCGGAUUGGAGGCUGCAACUCGCCUCCAUGAAGUUGGAAUCGCUAGUAAUGGCGCAUCAGCUACGGCGCCGUGAAUACGUUCCGGGUCUUGUACACACCG